AGUGAACGCUGGCGGUAGGCCUAACACAUGCAAGUCGAACGGCAGCACAGUAAGAGCUUGCUCUUACGGGUGGCGAGUGGCGGACGGGUGAGGAAUACAUCGGAAUCUACUUUUUCGUGGGGGAUAACGUAGGGAAACUUACGCUAAUACCGCAUACGACCUACGGGUGAAAGCAGGGGAUCUUCGGACCUUGCGCGAUUGAAUGAGCCGAUGUCGGAUUAGCUAGUUGGCGGGGUAAAGGCCCACCAAGGCGACGAUCCGUAGCUGGUCUGAGAGGAUGAUCGGCCACACUGGAACUGAGACACGGUCCAGACUCCUACGGGAGGCAGCAGUGGGGAAUAUUGGACAAUGGGCGAAAGCCUGAUCCAGCCAUACCGCGUGGGUGAAGAAGGCCUUCGGGUUGUAAAGCCCUUUUGUUGGGAAAGAAAAGCAGCAGGUUAAUACCCAGCUGUUCUGACGGUACCCAAAGAAUAAGCACCGGCUAACUUCGUG
rnacentral:rRNA from 1 species